rnacentral:rRNA from 1 species
UACGUAGGGUGCGAGCGUUAAUCGGAAUUACUGGGCGUAAAGCGUGCGCAGGCGGUUUUGUAAGACAGGCGUGAAAUCCCCGGGCUUAACCUGGGAAUUGCGCUUGUGACUGCAAGGCUAGAGUGCGUCAGAGGGGGGUAGAAUUCCACGUGUAGCAGUGAAAUGCGUAGAGAUGUGGAGGAAUACGGAUGGCGAAGGCAGCCCCCUGGGACGUGACUGACGC